rnacentral:rRNA from 1 species
CAUCACUACGCUAGAUGCAUAUCAAUAAGCGGAGGAAAAGAAACUAACAAGGAUUCCCCUAGUAACGGCGAGUGAAGCGGGAAGAGCUCAAAUUUGAAAUCUUAAAGGGUUUCCCUUUACGAAUUGUAGUUUAAAGAAGUGUUUUCUGUUGGAGUUUCGGUAAAAGUUCUUUGGAAUAGGACAUCAUAGAGGGUGAGAAUCCCGUAUUUGACCGUUACUUUCCAGCUGUGUGAUACACUUUCAAAGAGUCGGAUUGUUUGGGAAUGCAGUCCAAAAUGGGUGGUAAAUUUCAUCUAAAGCUAAAUAUUGGCGAGAGACCGAUAGCGAACAAGUACCGUGAGGGAAAGACGAAAAGAACUUUGAAAAGAGAGUUAAACAGUACGUGAAAUUGUCAAAAGGGAAGCGUUUGACACCAGUGUUGUUUAGUUGAAAAUCAAUUCAAUAAUUUUUGAUUUUGAGUAGUAUUGACUUCAUCAGCUUGCUGCUUUCUUUUCGGAAAUUAUUGAAUGCACUUUUCAGUUAACAAGUCAACAUCAAUUUCUUUUGUUGUAAAAGGGUAAGAGGAAGGUGGCUUACGCUUCGGCGUAAGUGUUUAUAGCCUUUUACCUCUGCAAUCGGAGAGAUUGAGGACAGCAGCGUAGACUCUUCGGGGUUAGAUACACUUGUGCUAAGCUAUAGCCUUGUAUAGACAAACUUGUUGACUAUGCUCAGUCAUGUAGCUUACUCGCUUGUGCUAUUUUACCUACGCUUAGGAUGUUGACGAGACUGUCGAUCUC